rnacentral:tRNA from 1 species
GCCCCCGUAGCUCAGGUGGAUAGAGCACCGGUUUCCUAAACCGGGUGUCAGACGUUCGAGUCGUCUCGGGGGCGCCA